CUUUACUGCAACUUGACGUUGGAACUUGGCUGUAUUUGUGUAGGAUAGGUGGGAGACUUUGAAGCAGGGCCGCCAGGUCUUGCGGAGUCGUCGUUGAAAUACCACCCUGUGCUGACGAGUUUCUAACCGUGUCCGUAAGCCGGACAUGAGACAGCGUCUGGUGGGCAGUUUGACUGGGGCGGUCGCCUCCUAAAAGGUAACGGAGGCAUUCAAAGGUCCCCUCAGCGUGGUCGGUAAUCACGCGCAGAGUGCAAACGCAUAAGGGGGCUUAACUGCGAGACCGACAGGUCGAGCAGGUACGAAAGUAGGAGUUAGUGAUCCCGCGGUUUAGCGUGGAAUUGCCGUUGCUCAAUGGAUAAAAGGUA
rnacentral:rRNA from 1 species